AGCGCAGGCGGGAAGACAAGUUGGAAGUGAAAUCCAUGGGGCUCAAUCCAUGAACUGCUUUCAAAACUGUUUUUCUUUGAGUAGUGCAGAGGUAGGCGGAAUUCCCGGUGUAGCGGUGGAAUGCGUAGAUAUCGGGAGGAACACCAGUGGCGAAGGCGGCCUACUGGGCACCAACUGACGCUGAGGCUCGAAAGUGUGGGUAGCAAC
rnacentral:rRNA from 1 species